UUGACCUCAAAUCAGGUAGGACUACCCGCUGAACUUAAGCAUAUCAAUAAGCGGAGGAAAAGAAACUAACAAGGAUUCCCUUAGUAACUGCGAGUGAAGUGGGAAAAGCUCAAAUUUAGAAUCUGGCGGUCGCUUGGCUGUCCGAGUUGUAAUCUAGAGAAGUGUUGCCCGUGCUGGACCAUGUACAAGUCUCCUGGAAUGGAGCAUCACAGAGGGUGAGAAUCCUGUCUUUGACAUGGACUGCCAGUGCUUUUGUGGUACGCUCUCAAAGAGUCGAGUUGUUUGGGAAUGCAGCUCAAAAYGGGUGGUAAAUGCCAUCUAAAGCUAAAUAUUGGCGAGAGACCGAUAGCGAACAAGUACCGUGAGGGAAAGAUGAAAAGAACUUUGGAAAGAGAGUUAAACAGUACGUGAAAUUGCUGAAAGGGAAACGCUUGAAGUCAGUCGCGUUGACUCGGAAUCAGCUCUGCUUUUGCUGGGUGUACUUUCUUGUCAAUGGGUCAGCAUCAAUUUUGACCAUUGGAUAAAGUUGCUGGGAAUGUAGCAUCCUUUUGGAUGUGUUAUAGCCUGGUGAUGCAUACGGUGGUUGGGAUUGAGGAAUUCAGCACGCCACCAGGCCGGGUUUCGACCACGUUCGUGCUUAGGAUGCUGGCAUAAUGGCUUUAAUCGACCCGUC
rnacentral:rRNA from 1 species